rnacentral:rRNA from 1 species
CUUGACGACCAUAGCGAGGUGGUCCCACCCCUUCCCAUCCCGAACAGGACCGUGAAACACCUUAGCGCCGAUGAUAGUGGACGUACGUCUGUGAAAGUAGGACAUUGUCAAGC